rnacentral:rRNA from 1 species
UACGGGGGGGGCAAGCGUUGUUCGGAAUUACUGGGCGUAAAGGGCUCGUAGGUGGCCAACUAAGUCAGACGUGAAAUCCCUCGGCUUAACCGGGGAACUGCGUCUGAUACUGGAUGGCUUGAGUUCGGGAGAGGGAUGCGGAAUUCCAGGUGUAGCAGUGAAAUGCGUAGAUAUCUGGAGGAACACCGGUGGCGAAGGCGGCAUCCUGGACCGACACUGACGCUGAGGAGCGAAAGCCAGGGGAGCAAACGGG